GAGUUUGAUCCUGGCUCAGAUUGAACGCUGGCGGCAGGCCUAACACAUGCAAGUCGAGCGGAUGACGGGAGCUUGCUCCUUGAUUCAGCGGCGGACGGGUGAGUAAUGCCUGGGGAUCUGCCUGGUAGUGGGGGACAACGUUUCGAAAGGAACGCUAAUACCGCAUACGUCCUACGGGAGAAAGCAGGGGACCUUCGGGCCUUGCGCUAUCAGAUGAGCCUAGGUCGGAUUAGCUAGUUGGUGGGGUAAUGGCUCACCAAGGCGACGAUCCGUAGCAGGUCUGAGAGGAUGAUCUGCCACACUGGAACUGAGACACGGUCCAGACUCCUACGGGAGGCAGCAGUGGGGAAUUUUGGACAAUGGGGGCAACCCUGAUCCAGCCAUGCCGCGUGAGUGAAGAAGGCCUU
rnacentral:rRNA from 1 species